rnacentral:rRNA from 1 species
AUUGAACGCUGGCGGCAGGCUUAACACAUGCAAGUCGAGCGGGGUGAUGGUGCUUGCACUAUCACUUAGCGGCGGACGGGUGAGUAAUGCUUAGGAAUCUGCCUAUUAGUGGGGGACAACAUCUCGAAAGGGAUGCUAAUACCGCAUACGUCCUACGGGAGAAAGCAGGGGAUCACUUGUGACCUUGCGCUAAUAGAUGAGCCUAAGUCGGAUUAGCUAGUUGGUGGGGUAAAGGCCUACCAAGGCGACGAUCUGUAGCGGGUCUGAGAGGAGGAUCCGCCACACUGGGACUGAGACACGGCCCAGACUCCUACGGGAGGCAGCAGUGGGGAAUAUUGGACAAUGGGGGGAACCCUGAUCCAGCCAUGCCGCGUGUGCGAAGAAGGCCUUAUGGUUGUAAAGCACUUUAAGCGAGGAGGAGGCUCUUUUGGUUAAUACCCAAGAUGAGUGGACGUUACUCGCAGAAUAAGCACCGGCUAACUCUGUGCCAGCCGCCGCUGUAA